AUUGACCGCUGGCGGCAGGCCUAACCCAUGCAAGUCGAGCGGAGCGGCGGACGGGUGAGUAAUGCCUAGGAAUCUGCCUGGUAGUGGGGGAUAACGUCCGGAAACGGGCGCUAAUACCGCAUACUAUCAGAUGAGCCUAGGUCGGAUUAGCUAGUUGGUGGGGUAAAGGCCUACCAAGGCGACGAUCCGUAACUGGUCUGAGAGGAUGAUCAGUCACACUGCAACUGAGACACAGUCCAGACUCCUACAGAAGGCAGCAGUGGGAAAGAGUGGACAAUGGGCGAAAGCCUGAAGCAGCCAUGCCGCGUGUGUGAAGAAGGUCUUCGGAUAGUAAAGCAAUUUAAGUUGGGAGGCGUUACCAACAGAAUAAGCACCGGCUAACUUCGUGCCAGCAGCCGCGGUAAUUC
rnacentral:rRNA from 1 species